rnacentral:lncRNA from 1 species
AGUCCGGAAGAGGUUCAGGGAACAACAGUGGGGCUAGAAGGCUCUGAGACCCAGUGUCUGGUGGUUGGGGGGACCGGGACCAAAUUUCGCCCCUGGCUGGGCGUGCAAGCCUUGGUUUCCCUGUCUGUAGUACAGAAAAGCAAUGGACUCGGUCGCGGAGGCUAAUAGAGUAGGCUUUGAGCGUCUGGGCAUGCUCGCCCUCGCUCGAUUCCGAGGCUAGGGCUGGGAAGGUGGAGAAAAUCUUCCACUCGCGCCCCACUUCCUGUUUGCUCUGUGCGUUUUGUGACCAUAGAUGGUCAGGUCCGUGGCUGUGCUUAAGCUUCCGCCUCAGGCUUCGGAGUUCUUCCUCCCACCCUGUAGGGUGUGGUCCCUGAAAUGAAAUGAGCAAAAUUAAAGGAGAUCUUGUCCCAUUCCUUAAAAAUCUUGCUUUUGAGGCUUCAUCGCCCCAAGCUAUGUAUGCCCAGCUGGCUGCUAAUGAGCCCGUGUGCGAUUCAGAGCUGUAACUGCAGCCUGCAGGGCAGUCUUCGCCUCCCUGCUUCUUAGACGGGGGAUCGCGUCUUUGUUUCCUCCGGACUUAACACUUUCCAACCGGUCAUUAUCCUCCCACAAAGAUUUAUUUCUAGAAAAAAAAUUGGCGAGUGCUGUGCUAUGGUUCCUACCCCUUCGACUGGAUGACUGACAACUCCGCGUUCAAGUUGAAUGCAGGUGUUAUAUGCCAGAGUCAAUCAUUCAACAAAUA